ACCAAACCAACCCUAGAAAGAGAAAAAAGACAGUCCCUCCUCAUUUCCACCGAACUAUCCCUCUCACUCAUCUCUUCUCCCUCACCACCGAAUUAGACCUUCCUCCUCUCCUCUCCUCUCCACUCCACCUCCUAAACUCCCAGCGAACUCUCCCUUUCACUCAUCUCUUCUCCCUCAUAACCAACCUGAAAUCGAUCCUCAUCUUCCUCCCCUCAUCCCAUGAAGCCUUAACCGAACUUUAGCCUUCCAUCUCCAUCUCCAUCUUCUUCCUUCUCUCCUCUCCGUAUUCUAAGGCUCCACAUGGUUAUGUUGUAAAGAAGAAGAAAGAAAGAAGAAAGAAGAAGAAAGAAAGAAGAAGAACAGCAAGGAAAAAAACCAUUCUCGGCCAUGCUGUGAAGACAAGGAAGAAGAAAGAAGAAGAAAGAAGGAGAAGAAUAAGGGAGAACAUUGUUACACCAUUUCGGCUAGAACCGGACCUUACUCACAACUCCCUCUUCCUCUCUUCUUCCAACAAUCGAAAUCUCCCUCUCUCUCUCUCUAGGCUGACCCUUCCCUUCCAUCCUUUCCAUUAUUUCGACCAGCUACAACAACAAAAGAAUAGGGGAAUGAGAAGAAGGAAAGUUCCCUAUCCAAUUCAGUGUUAGGAAGAAAGAAGCUUGAAGUAGGAGGAGGAAGAAGAAGUAUUCGGCCUUAAGCUUAAGCCUCCCCUUUCCACAAGUGCACACAGUACUUUCUAGCUUCUUUGUCAUCAACCAAGUUGAGUUCUCUCUGAUUCAUUCAAAUAGCCAACACUCACCUCAUUGCCUCUCCCACCUUUGAAAGAAAAACCAUAAACAAAGGUAUGAUGGGCUUGGAAUUGAAGAAUUGAAUACCAAUUGGUAGAAACCUCAAUCUAUGGCGCAAGUUGAAGUGAAGAGAGGAAGGAGGCGGUGAACAAAGAAAGGAGCGAAUUGCCAGGCGGAUUCACCCCAAGAAUUUCCUUUUAUUUUGGAAGGAUAAGAUGGUUAUUCGAUCCAUAUCGGGAUUCCUAUUUUUGUGCURAGAAGAGGAAGUUGUUUAGGAGAAUUCAAAUCCUAUCCUAUAGGAGAUAAUCUAUAGGGAACCCUUAUCUUUCCAGUAUUAUAUAAA